UCGCACAGGAAGCCCACGUGCAGACGAGGACUGUCAGCGGCUGGAGACGUCCACUGUGCCCGAAAGGCAGUGUCCAGAUGGAAGUGUGUGUGCACGUCCCAUGCCCGGCUGGAGAAGAAGCUGGUGAGCAGGUGCCGCCCUUGAGAAGAGGGGGUGAUAGGGAAAAACCAUUGCGACAGAAGGAGUUGAAAUGGAUCUACACAUUGGACACUGUGAAACCAUUUAUGCACUUUUAUUGUAUUACUGUAUCACUGUAUGGAGGAUAUCACUUUAAAUGAAGAUUACAUCAGAAGAUGAAUUUACCGAGGACUUCACAGAAUAAAAUGUAAACUGGAUGUUAUAGUGUAUUAUGUGAUAAAUUAAUCCCUGUCUCAAUGUGGAACUUCUAUUUCACUCAAAUAAAAACAUUUU